GCAAUACAAUAAGCGGAGGAAAAGAAACUAACAAGGAUUCCCCUAGUAACGGCGAGUGAAGUGGGAAAAGCUCAACUUUGUAAUCUGGCAGCUUCGCUGUCCGAGUUGUAGUCUCGAGAAAUGUUUUCCGCGCUGGCAUGUGUAUGAGUCUGUUGGAAUACAGCGUCAUAGAGGGUGAGAACCCCGUUCAUGACACAUCUCCCAGUGCUUUGUGAUACAUUUUCGAUGAGUCGAGUUGUUUGGGAAUGCAGCUCAAAAUGGGUGGUAAAUUCCAUCUAAAGCUAAAUAUUGGCGAGAGACCGAUAGCAAACAAGUACCGUGAGGGAAAGAUGAAAAGCACUUUGGAAAGAGAGUUAAAAGUACGUGAAAUUGUUGAAAGGGAAACGCUUGAAGUCAGACGUGCGCAGUGCGAUUCAGCUCUAUUUCGGUAGAGUGUAUUUCGUGCUAUUGCAGGCCAGCAUCGGUUUUGCGAGCCGGAUAAAGGUUAGUAGAAGGUAGCAUCUUCGGAUGUGUUAUAGCUUCUAACUGAAUACGGAUUGCGAGACCGAGGGACGCAGCACGGCGCAAGCCAGAAGAUUCGUCUUCUUCGUGCUUAGGAUGCUGGUGAAAUGGCUUUAAACGACCCGUCUUGAAACACGGACC
rnacentral:rRNA from 1 species